GGUAAUGAGAACAGCUUUGUGUUCACGUGGUAUUGGAAACCACCAGGUAGAAAUGAGGUGCUUUCUGGUGACAGUGGAGAGGAAAUAAUAUAAGAACACGAGUAAGAGUGCAGCAGGAUCGCCUGUCAUCGCCUGUGGUGGGGGUGGAGAAACCUGGUCCUUCCAUGCCACCUAGUGUAGGAAGCUGAGCAGCAGCCCUGCGAGGAUGGGCUCUGCAAGGUGGGGUCGUUAAGCAGGAAAUAACGGAGACCUGAAGCCUGCCACAAAAUGAGCCACCUCUGCCCUACAGGCAAACCCCUACUCAGUAGCUUGAUUUGAAAUUCUUCAUUUUUGGAAAUUAAAACUGAACUGUGGCUAAAAGGAUAUAGUGCCUGGUUUAGUGUUCUUUCUUUUUAUUUUCCUUCCAGGAUAGGAUAAAUUUUUCAUUUUUUGGUUGAUUCGUGUGGAAAAGUUAAGUUAUGGUCUUUAUAGCAGUUGCUCUAGAACACAGCAAUGGAUAAAAAUGGCCCAGAGUUACGGUGUGCAGUUUAAUUGCUAAACAGUGCUUCAGAUGGGUAGUUAGGAAUAAUCCUCUCUGUAACCAGCUAAACCAAGGACCCUUGAUCUUACUCUGAAACCUUUUGUGCUAGUUUCUCUUUGAGAAAGAAGAGCAGAUGAGAUCCAAAAUAAUUCUGAUAGCUAUUCUUAUGUUGGAAAAAAAUCUAUAUCAUGUCAAUAGACUCUUUCAAAACUACUUCUUAACAGAUUGCAGUGUCAGGCUGGUAUGUCACCAAUUCUGGAAUAACCAGAUAGCUAUAUAUAUUUCUCCCAGAACACCCAUGGACAAGGGCACCUGCAUGCUGUCAGAUUGUUGCAUGCAUAAGAUAUGAACUGUGUUUAUAAGCAGCUUCUGAGAGUAGCACCACACAAGUCGUAAUUGUUACUUUAGUAAGAGGGGAAAAAGAGCCUGAAUGCUAUGCCAGAAAGCCUGCAUCAAACGUAGGAAGAAGUAAUUCCUGUUUAGAGUCUUCCAUAUUAAAUACCUCUUUUUCCUUUUUUUUUUUCUUUUCCUCCCCUCAGCUUCCUGAAUUUUGCUCUGCCACUUAUUUUAUUGUCUCCAGUGGAUUUCUGACUGAGGUGUCCAGCCACUGUCCUGAUGGGGCUGAUAGGCAACAUUACCUUCAGCCAGGAUCGAUCCUUCCUUGCAUUGGGUUUAAAAGCAGAUCUUGUCCUUCCUCCUCCCUACCCUCACCUGUGUACAGGCUUCCAUGCUCCCACAUGCUUUCACUGUGGCAUAAAUAAGGUUUUAUGUGGUGUGUAAAUAAGGAAAUCCCUAGAAGCAAAAGAGCACUUUAGAAGUUUGGCUUGCGUGAUGGCAAAAUGAUGACAUGUAACUUCAACACUAAUGAAGGCCGUAUGUGUGCAACGUGUUGAGAAAUGGGUGAAACAUAACACAGGGGAAGAAGAGAUGGAAUGUCAUCAUAUGUUUUCCAUUUGCAUCCACAUUAGAAAAAAAAGAUACAGUAUUUCUACUCUUUCCAAGGCGAUGUGAUGUAUGUGUCUGGUUCCAUUAUUAAAGAGAGAUCAAAAUGAUUUUAAAUAUGUUUUAGUAUUAAAGCAAUAUAAAGUGAA